UCUUUAGGUACCCUCAUCUAACUACAUAGAGAUGAAAAUAUAAUUAUUGGAAACUUGUUCGAGUUUCCAUUAUCCAUGAAAUUCAUAGAGAUGAUUUCAUAAAAAAUAGGUAAAAAGUGUACUCAAUGUAAAAAAUAGGGUCAGUGAAGCGACGAAGUAAAAGCAUACAGAUUUCUAGAACGUAUAUGUAAACGUUUAAUUAGAUCCGUCAGCCUGCCAGGGAAGAGCGAACGCAGUCAAUAAUUAUUUAAAACAACGUUUUCUAUUCAGUCUACUUCAACUAACUGUGCACUACACAUAUUUAAAUUGUAUCUUUUAUAUUUUACUAUGAUUCAAAAUAUUCCAUUUAUAUACUUUCUGAUAUCAGUAAUUAGUGGUGAGCGAUGGUACCCUGCAUCAUCGGAACCUAGUGCUAACAAUUUAAAAGUUGAAUAUCCAAGAAAAAUGCCUUUAUUUGAAGUAAAUUAUAGUAGAGCAAUAUUCAAUAAAAUCGAAAAAUCUCCGAAAUAUACAGGCAAAAAUAAUAAAAAUACUCAAGAUAGGAGUGUAAGUCAUAAAAUUGAAGACUAUCUAUUAUUGAAUCAAUGGAGAGUAAGAAAUACAACUGAUACAACAUUACUAAACACCACAGCAGGUCUCAAACAGUUUCGUCAUAAGCGAAAGAUAUCUAACAGGAGGUGUAAAAUAGGACAGAAUUUGGAGCAUGUUGGCGCAUAUUCGAAUAAAACAGCACAGAGUCGAUUCUUAGAAGUUUUUGAAGUAGUAGAGUUUGAUCAUAUACCCUGCACAUCUAUCAAUGGAUUGGAGGGAACUUGCCUUCAUGAAUAUGACUGUAAUAAGACAGGUGGGAAAAAUAUGGGUAUCUGCGCUGAUGGAUAUGGAACUUGCUGUAUAGUUCAAUUUGGAUGCGACACGGAAUCCGCGGCGCCGUCUGGAUGGUUUACUAACUCCGAGUUUCCUUUGCCAAAUACCGAUCGAUUAUCAUGUACAGUCACAUUACAUAAAUCGUCAGUGGAAAUACAACAGAUAAGACUUGAUUUUUUAAAUUUUGAGGUUCUUCCACCUACGGCCGGAAAUUGUGAGCAAGACCAAUUCAUAGUUACGGGACAAAACGUUAAUAAUGUUAUACCAAUAUUAUGCGGCAUUAAUACAGGACAACAUGUUUAUAUUGAAGUUGGCAAUAUAAAGGGUCCAGUGAGUCUGUCUUUUCAAACCGUUACAGCAGAAAGUCGGCUGUUUUCUGUAAAGGUGACCCAAAUAACAACGAAUCAUGAUUUAUCAGCACCUGCUGGAUGUCUUCAAUAUUUUAGAGGAAAUCAAGGUCAUUUGGAAUCAUUUAACUAUCGGGACCGAUAUGAAAUUGCGGUUGGAAACACGCCUAGUUAUUUGAAUAAUCUUAAUUACGCCAUGUGCAUAGAGCGACAACCAGAUGCAUGCAGCGUAACAUAUACCAACGUUGGAAAAAUGCAAAUUUUAAAUUAUGACACUGGUAUAUGGAUUACCAAUCAUUCCUCCCAGACAAGCUGGUGUCGAAAUAUUUAAUUGUCCAUCGGAUUGGUUACUUAUAUCAGCCGUGAGGUUGUGUGGAGAGCGACUCAAUGAUGGUUCCGUACUUCAGGAUUUCUCUUUAGAUGCUCCUGUGACAGAUGAUGGAGUGGGCCCAAUCGUCGUAUGGUUUAGAUCUGACAGUGUUUACGCAGGCCGGGGUUUCAAACUGCAAUUCCAACAAAAUUCUUGCUCAAUUCCUUCAUAAGUCAGCAGCUAAUAAUUAUUAUUAUAAAAAAUAAUAAAUAUAUAACUAUUUAAUGAUGUUUUGUAA